rnacentral:lncRNA from 1 species
UAUGCUGAUCUACUAACACGGGAUCUCUAGACAACUGACCUCAGGCCAGAAAAGGUUGUAGGAGGAAUAAGGUCAGCCAUUCACCCAGGGCCAUGGAUGGACAGCUUGGUCAUUGAGCAGGGACAGCCAACACUCAGGUAGAUGAGUUCCCCCGCCCACCCUUUCCAUCUGGAGGCACUGAAGCUCUCCUGAGACCCCGACCCAGACACUGUGACCUCUGGUGUCAGGCACCGGCGCCACCAGAGUCCUUGUUGAGACCCAGCCCCGGUAAUGUCCCUACUCAUCUGUCAUACUGCACACAACAGUACCAAGAGAGAUGGAGCAGGUAGAAGACUGACAGGGGAAAAAAGGUAGGUGCUGGGUUAUAUUGAUAUAUGGGGCACUUGUUAGUCUUUCAUAACAAUUCUGAUACUGAAUCCAGUUAAGGCAUAAACAUAAGUCACAUUGUCAGUAAGAAAAAUAGAAAAAUUAUAUAACACAAAUCACAGUAAUGCACAAUUGCAGGGCUGUUUCGUAAGGUGGCCCUGAAGGUCAAAACCCAACAACUGUAGAAAGCAAAACUACAAGUCAAAUGAUGCAACAUUUCAAAAAACAUGACAUUUCAAAAAACAUU